rnacentral:lncRNA from 1 species
AGAGUCUACGACUUUUAUGCGUCACAUUUGAGCCCAAGCCCUUCUCCAAGAAACCAAAAACUUUAAAAAGCAACAUUUUGGGGGGCCACUCCUGGGGCACGCGGAAGUUCCUGGGCCAGGGAUGGAGAACAUGCAGCACAGCAGGGACCUGAGCUGCUGCAGGGACAACACCGGAUCCUUGAGCCACUGAGCCACAGAACUCCGAAAGUGUAACUUUGUUCCCCCUGGAUUUUUUAGGGCUGCACCUGCGGGAUAUGAACGUUCCCAGGUUAGGGGUUGAAUUGGCACUGCCGCUGCUGGCCCACACCGCAACCACAGCAAUGCAGGAUUCAAGUCUGCGAGCUACACCACAGCUCACAGCAACACCAGGUCCCCGGCCCAUUGAGCGAGGCCAGGGAUCAAACCAGGAUCCUCAAGGAUACGGAGCGAUGACGGGAAGUCCCGAGUAGCUGUUUUAACCGUGUGUAGCGUUCCGUCAAAUUACAUCCAGAGCACAACCCACUUCAAUCAUCCCUAUUGUAGGACGUCCGUCUUUCUCUCCAGAGGAAGAGUUGGCCCCUGGAAUUUGAUGGCACAAAGGACUAGUUACGGCAGACCCUGCCCCCAGCAGCCCCCGUUGCCACGCUCCCUGUCCUUGAAGGUUCUAGAGGGGACAGAUUUAAAAGGUCAGAGCCUGGAGCUGUGAGGUUGCGUUUGUCUGGGUUUCCUGGGCUCUGCCGCUGCUCAGAGGGCUCCGGACGACCGAGUCCCUGGAGGAGUCCCGGGACCUACCGGCGAUUUUCUUCAGGGGUGGGGCACGGCCGUCACUCGAGCAGGUCUCUAAGAAAGUGGCGUAAAAGAGAAAGUCCUUUGUGUUUGCUUCAAAAGCACAGAUACACCCGACAGCUUUCUGUGGAAACCUGUUUGCAUUGUGUGUUCGCACCUUUGAUCAAAGAAUACGAAACGUUUUAAAAUCUCUUGAUAAGUACAAGGACACUGCUUCCUAGAAGGUUGUCAACAGCACAGCUCUUCCAGAAGCAUUUACGAGAACACUGGGUAAAAAUCGCUUAUUAGCAAGACAGUCGUCCAUUAAAAAUACACAUUUUGUCUUAGUGCUCCUUAUCUACCCGUGGAGGGGCCUUUUCUGUGUACGUCCAUUAAGUUGUUCCCUUGAUGAGGGUGAGUCUCCACGGCUGGAGCAGAGGGAACUUGGCAUCUGUGGGAGGCUCAGAGUCCCCGCGCCGACACCGGUACUAACAGGGGGCGCCGAGCGCUCGCCCGGGGCCAGGCCUGCGGGGGCGGCUACAGACCGUGUCCCCUGCACAGAGUCCUGACUCCGCCCCUUCCUGGUGCCGCGGAAGGAGCUCAGCCCUGACGCACCCCGACGGCUUUCACCCUCCGAAGGGGGUCACCGCGCAGGGCGGAGCCUGGUCUCACUGCGCUCAGCCCCGCGUCUUCCUUCCUGGGACCAUGGACGUGGCACUGCGAGGCCCUGUGACUCUGCAGAGCUCUGAGGAGGUCGCGCAGCUUGAGAAACCCCGAGCCCUCCUCAGGUCGGGGCUCUGUCCCGGGAGCAGCGGCGGGGGGACCCACUAAGGCUGGACAUGAGGACAGCGGAACCCACGCGGGGGUCGCAGGCAGGAAAGGCGGACACACAGGGGGCUCUGUAUUUACAGGCCUUGGGGGGCGGGGUUCUGGGCAGGGAGAUCAGGAAGACCACCCCCAGCUCUCGGGACCCCCAGACGUGUGUGAAUUAGUGGACGGCUUUGUG